ensembl:snoRNA SNORA75 Small nucleolar RNA SNORA75
CUCUUCUCAAUGAGCUCCUUCCUGCCAUAGAAACAGUGGCAGCCUAUGGAUUCGCACGAGAAGAAUAUUAAUUGCACAGUGCUGGCAUAUUCACCCUUGGCUUUAGACUGGUGAUUAGCCAACACUGUGGGACAUUC